rnacentral:misc_RNA from 1 species
GAUGAAGAACGUAGCGAAAUGCGAUAAGUAAUGUGAAUUGCAGAAUUCAGUGAAUCAUCGAAUCUUUGAACGCACAUUGCGCCCGCCAGUAUUCUGGCGGGCAUGCCUGUCUGAGCGUCAUUUCAACCCUCAUGCCCCUAGGGCGUGGUGUUGGGGAUCGGCCAAAGCCCGCGAGGGACGGCCGGCCCCUAAAUCUAGUGGCGGACCCGUCGUGGCCUCCUCUGCGAAGUAGUGAUAUUCCGCAUCGGAGAGCGACGAGCCCCUGCCGUUAAACCCCAAACUUUCCAAGGUUGACCUCAGAUCAGGUAGGAAUACCCGCUGAACUUAAGCAUAUCAAUAAGCGGAGGA